rnacentral:rRNA from 1 species
CCUACGGGAGGCAGCAGUGAGGAAUAUUGGUCAAUGGACGAUAGUCUGAACCAGCCAAGUAGCGUGAAGGAUGACUGCCCUAUGGGUUGUAAACUUCUUUUAUAUGGGAAUAAAAUGUUCCACGUGUGGGCUUUUGUAUGUACCAUAUGAAUAAGGAUCGGCUAACUCCGUGCCAGCAGCCGCGGUAAUACGGAGGAUCCGAGCGUUAUCCGGAUUUAUUGGGUUUAAAGGGAGCGUAGGUGGAUUGUUAAGUCAGUUGUGAAAGUUUGCGGCUCAACCGUAAAAUUGCAGUUGAAACUGGCAGUCUUGAGUACAGUAGAGGUGGGCGGAAUUCGUGGUGUAGCGGUGAAAUGCUUAGAUAUCACGAAGAACUCCGAUUGCGAAGGCAGCUCACUGGACUGCAACUGACACUGAGGCUCGAAAGUGUGGGUAUCAAACAGGAUUAGAUACCCUUGUAGUC